rnacentral:rRNA from 1 species
GGGAAAUUUUGGACAAUGGGCGCAAGCCUGAUCCAGCAAUGCCGCGUGAGUGAAGAAGGCCUUCGGGUUGUAAAGCUCUUUUGUCAGGGAAGAAACGGUGCGCACUAAUAUUCUGCGCUAAUGACGGUACCUGAAGAAUAAGCACCGGCUAACUACGUGCCAGCAGCCGCGGUAAUACGUAGGGUGCAAGCGUUAAUCGGAAUUACUGGGCGUAAAGCGUGCGCAGGCGGUUUUGUAAGUCUGUCGUGAAAGCCCCGGGCUCAACCUGGGAAUUGCGAUGGAGACUGCAAGGCUUGAAUCUGGCAGAGGGAGGUAGAAUUCCACGUGUAGCAGUAAAAUGCGUAGAGAUGUGGAGGAACACCGAUGGCGAAGGCAGCCCCCUGGGUCAAGAUUGACGCUCAUGCACGAAAGCGUGGGGAGCAAA